GAUGAACGCUGGCGGCGUGCCUAAUACAUGCAAGUCGAGCGAACAGACGAGGAGCUUGCUCCUCUGACGUUAGCGGCGGACGGGUGAGUAACACGUGGAUAACCUACCUAUAAGACUGGGAUAACUUCGGGAAACCGGAGCUAAUACCGGAUAAUAUAUUGAACCGCAUGGUUCAAUAGUGAAAGACGGUUUUGCUGUCACUUAUAGAUGGAUCCGCGCCGCAUUAGCUAGUUGGUAAGGUAACGGCUUACCAAGGCGACGAUGCGUAGCCGACCUGAGAGGGUGAUCGGCCACACUGGAACUGAGACACGGUCCAGACUCCUACGGGAGGCAGCAGUAGCGAAUCUUCCGCAAUGGGCGAAAGCCUGACGGAGCAACGCCGCGUGAGUGAUGAGGGUCUUCGGAUCGUAAAACUCUGUUAUUAGGGAAGAACAAAUGUGUAAGUAACUAUGCACGUCUUGACGGUACCUAAUCAGAAAGCCACGGCUAACUACGUG
rnacentral:rRNA from 1 species